rnacentral:rRNA from 1 species
AAAUUGAAGAGUUUGAUCAUGGCUCAGAUUGAACGCUGGCGGCAGGCCUAACACAUGCAAGUCGAACGGUAACAGAAAGCAGCUUGCUGCUUUGCUGACGAGUGGCGGACGGGUGAGUAAUGUCUGGGAAACUGCCUGAUGGAGGGGGAUAACUACUGGAAACGGUAG